CAAAGAGUUGGCGGACAGCACUUUGAAAUCCGCGUCCACAACACCAAAGCCGCCACUACGAUCAACAGCGUGGUCGGCAAUUGGAACUCCACUGCCAUUGCCGCCGAAUCCUGUCCACAUCCCCACCCCGCCACCGGACUACGACGACAUCUUCGUUGGGGAAAAAGGACUUGGAUCUUGGAGGUGCAGGCACCAGUGCAGGAAGUGCGGCUUGAUGUUAAGGUUAAGGUAAUUAACCAAACAAACAUCCAAAUCUCGAUGUGCCAGCGAAAUUGAUGACUAAGAUUCAUCUCAAUAAAUCGCUCAGCUGUGGUGACCAGCGGAAGGGACCUGGACGCGCAACAUUAAGAAAUUAACUUAAAAAAUCGUAAGGAAUAUGGUAAUUAAAAUUCGCUUGGCGUAAUCAAUUAA